CAAGGUUUCCGUAGGUGAACCUGCGGAGAUCAUUG
rnacentral:rRNA from 1 species